GGCCCAGACUCCUACGGGAGGCAGCAGUCGGGAAUAUUGCGCAAUGGAGGAAACUCUGACGCAGUGACGCCGCGUAUAGGAAGAAGGUUUUCGGAUUGUAAACUAUUGUCGUGAGGGAAGAAAUUGACAGUACCUCAGGAGGAAGCUCCGGCUAACUAUGUGCCAGCAGCCGCGGUAAUACGUAGGGAGCGAGCGUUGUCCGGAAUUACUGGGUGUAAAGGGAGCGUAGGCGGGACGGCAAGUCAGAUGUGAAAACUGAGGGCUCAACCUUCAGACUGCAUUUGAAACUGCUGUUCUUGAGUGAAGUAGAGGUAAGCGGAAUUCCUAGUGUAGCGGUGAAAUGCGUAGAUAUUAGGAGGAACAUCGGUGGCGAAGGCGGCUUACUGGGCUUUUACUGACGCUGAGGCUCGAAAGCGUGGGGAGCAAACAGAAUUAGAUACCCGCGUAA
rnacentral:rRNA from 1 species